rnacentral:lncRNA from 1 species
GGACACGGCCUCCUUACUUCAUUUGUCCUCGCCUCUCCCCGUCCCUCUACGCGUUUUGGUCCCUGUUUGGUGCUUUCUGUUUGCAGCUACGGCAAUCUGGGCAUAGGAACCAAUCAGAAACAAUCGCUUCAGCAAUCAAGACCAUUGUUCAUCAUGGAGGAACCCAUGGAUACCUCUGAGCCUCUAUCUGCAUUACCAUUCACUGGGCAGCAGUCUUUUGAGCCAAGUGGCAAAUUUGGACAGUGUCCAUCCGAUGCAGAUGAACCACAUCCAGGCACUGGGGAGGUGGAGGACAUAGAACAGCUCAAUCAGUGUUUGAUCCAACACUUCCAUCUCAUUAAGACAAGUUUGAUUUUUCUUUGCUUUUUAUUUCAUGGAAUACAUGAGAAUCUCUUAACUGUUGGAGUUUCCAAGGAGGCAUACCUCGUGACUUCAGUUAAUGGAAAGAACAAAACUAAAAUGCUGUAUGGCCAAAGCCACAAAGGGAAGGAUCUGCAAUUUACAUUCUUGGAGCUAUCAUCUGUACUGUACUGUUGUGAUCUGCUGAUUGGCAUUGGCAUAGUAGUAGGGGUCAAGUGAC